UACGUAGGGGGCUAGCGUUGUCCGGAUUUAUUGGGCGUAAAGAGCGUGUAGGCGGUCAGGUAAGUCCGCUGUGAAAACUCGAGGCUCAACCUCGAGACGCCGAUGGAAACCAUCUGACUAGAGUCCGGAAGAGGAGAGUGGAAUUCCUGGUGUAGCGGUGAAAUGCGCAGAUAUCAGGAAGAACACCAACGGCGAAGGCAGCUCGCUGGGACGGUACUGACGCUGAGACGCGAAAGCGUGGGGAGCAAACAGG
rnacentral:rRNA from 1 species